GGUGAGGAAGAGCAAUACAUACGCAAUUAAUAUUUUCUUUCCAUAGCCACAAGAAUAUUUCCAUUUUACAGUGGGUUUAUUUAAAACUCGUUGGGAAAUACGAUAGAUAGUAUAUCGAUCAGGUGAUCUCAGCUGUGAAAAAAUUCUCCUUAACCAGAUGAAUCUUUGGCUACUUGUAUGCUUAUACAAUGUAAAGCUAGAAAUUACCAAAUAUAUGUACAUCUGAUUGCUGUUUUUGGCAAUUACGUCGUAUUAUAUUUUAAAAAUUUAUCAAUAUAAUAUCGAAUAAAUUACUUGGGACGAUAUUUGAAACUAAAGUAAAUGACUGACAAUAAAUAAUUUAUUAAUUUUAAUAAUAAAAAGCAAUUAAUAUAUUCAUAUAUGCCCGUAUCGCAUCGUUAUCGUAUUUUUAUAUAAAUCCAAUUCGAAUUAGUUUAAACACUCAUAAUUUGUGUUUCAAGAAGCUUUGCUGGCAGCUAGCAGUACAGAAACAGUCUUACGUACAUAUAUGUCCCAAAAACAGCUGAUUUAUAAAUCUUCAACGGCAGUGAGAACAGGGUAGAUUUGGGAAGCGUUUAAAUCACUUCAAAUUUUAGUUGGAACAUAACAAAAGUCUGAAUAAAUAGGUUUACAGCCCUAUUCUGAAAAAAACUCAUAACUAAGGUGAGAGGAAAAUUAUAAGAGAUUGAAGCUAUUCUGGCUCGAACCUCAUAAGAAAAAGACACAUCGUGAGGUGAAAAGCAUUUUGCUGUCAAACAGCUAUUUAAAAAAUAAUAAAUAAAUACAAGUUUGAAAUGGAUAACAAAGAAAUGUAAGUAAUUUUGGAAAUUUAAUCAUUUCGAUGUAAAUAUAAUAAUUUCAUCUAUUUCUAGGCGUACCAGAAUAGAAAGGACAACUCAGGAGCAGCUGCAACAUUUAUAAUGUUUUGCAAGCAGCAUCCUGAGUUGCAAAGGGGGAAGCUAACUGCGAUCAACCCUCAAGGGCUUCAAAUGCUUUGGUCGGAUUUAUACUAUUUUUGCCACCGAACAACCUCAUACUAAGAUUAUGCUUGCACUUAAUUUUGCUCACAUAUUAAUCAAUAUAUUAGAUUGUAUCUACCUUAUUCCAACAAAUUAAAAAAACACGAACCGGCUUUAGUAUACCGUCCACGAUUUCGGGGUUAAAAUGGUUGUGGGCGGAUAAAGAAGGUACGAUAUUACAGAUUACGAAUAUAUAUAAUUAUAGCCGCCACAAACUUAUACUUAGCAAGUCAUGUACUGAAACUCCAACACAUUCAAAGGAAUUUCAAUAACACCACUACCCUGCCAGCCAGACCUAACUACUUUCUCAAUAGGUUUCAACACAUUUAUACAUUUUUUUGUUAAGUACCAUACGUCAUUUUUUAAAACUUAAUUAGAAUUUCACAAACAAAAAAAAUGGUUAUCUCAUUUCUUCUUCUUAUUGAAUGGGUACGAAUGAGAAAACAUGAUUGUCAUUAGUACCAAAAGAAAAUCCUAAAAUGAGAAAUAAAAAAACGAUUAAAUGACGUUUGUUCAGAAAAAAUGCAUUGGAAACAUUAUUAUCAGUUUGUCGUCUCAUCGUAUCACUAUGAGAGGGAAUGUUUUAAUCAUUGCAAGAACAUAAAAUAGCCGAAACAUCGUUUAACUCAUCUGAGCAGAGGAUUAAAGAUAAGGGGAAGUCCGAUAAAAAAGCGGCAUUUAUUAGAAUAAAGCAGCAUAAAUAAAUUGUUGGCUAAGUUGUACAAAAAAUAAAGAUGAACAAAAUUUCCUACGCAAUUGUUGCGCUUGAAAAAAAAAAUACAUUUGUAACAGUGCGGGUGGUAAUUUUUCAUUGAAAAGCGGUUUGCGCAGUGUAAAUUCUAAAACUAUAAUUAUAUUGUUAUACGGAGUGCAAAAGAGAACAAUAACAUGAGCGCUGCGUAGCCUAAAAUGCGAGAAAGAUGAGUCAUCACAGCACCCAACUGAACAGCACAAAGAGUAAAGCUUAGAAGCAACAAAUGCAACAGAGAGUGGCAGUCAACAACGGCCAGCAACAAACAUGAACGCACCAACAAGUAAGCAGGUACCGGCAAGAGAGCAGACAGCAAAGAAAAACAUAACCCAAGAAUACCGGGACUUAGACUACAGUCCAGUUACAAGCUACAACAAUGAAUGGCAGUUAAAUCGUCACCUUCUAUUCAGCUUCAACUAAAAUCUGCUGUACGAAAAAUAAAAACAGCGCUUAAACGCAGGGUACGACACGAUAAAAUUACUCCAAAAAUGCUAAUUGAGUUACCAAAUAUAAUUCAACAGUGCUCUCCUUGCUCUUUAACGCUAUUUCAAUUGGAGUCUUAUUUAAAAAAUAGAAAGUUUCCAGUAAAGUUGGAGACUUUAUAUCUGAAGAACAACCAAUAAGAGCUGGUGUACCGAAGGGCAGUGUUUAGGGCCAACUCUAUACAGCAGACCUUCCAACAGCAAGUAAUGCUUUGACAUUAACACAGCUUUAGUGAGCCGAAAUAAAUGCCCAAUUAUAGCAUCAAGAGAGUUAGAAGAGAAUUUGAUUUUUGUCAAAGAAUGGCUAGCCAACUGGCGUAUAAAUGUAAAUGAACAAAAGUGGAAGCAUGUUACAUUUUCCCUUAGACCAAAAACGUGCCCGGCAGUUAAAAUUAACAAUAUUUUAGUACCCCAAGCGACUGAAGUAACAUAUCUUGGUAUUCACUUGGAUAAAAGGCUCACGUGGAGAAAACACAUUUCGAGCAAUAUAACCUUCAUGAAGAUAAAAACAGCAAAUUUAAAUUGGCUUUUAAACAAAAAUUCAAAACUUAGCCUAUUGGUGUUAUAUAACGAGGUCAUAAAGCCGAUUUGGAUGUACGUGUUUCAACUGUGGGGCACGACCUGUACAAACAAUAUCGAUAUAAUUCAGAGAUUCCAAUAAAAUAUGCUUAGAACAGUCACGUGCUCACCAUGGUACAUGCGCAAUGAAAAUAUCCAUAAAUACCUUGGUAUUCUCAUGGAAAAGAAAGAAGUAGAGAACAACAGAAAUAAAUAUUAAUCAAACUCCGAGAUUGCCCAAACCCAUUGGCUAAUGAUUUAGUACGUUCUUGUAAUCAAUCACGUCUAAAAAGAAGAGAUAUGCCAGCACACUAAAGAGCAACGUUUCACCAUAACAACUUGGUUAGAAUGCUAUAUAUGUAUCCUCAUAAGGCGGUGGAGGCGUGAGUACAUCAGCCAUUGUCAGUGAGGUACCUGGCGGUAGGUAUAAAACGCUAGCGGUAAAGACCCCCGAAUACAAAAACUCAAUAUGGACGUCAAAAGGGAAUAACAGCGGGCUGGGAUAUCAGCUCAAACGUCGGUGGGAGACGAGGCUGCUACCACCCUCGGGCACAGCGACUUUUCAAGCUGUGUCACCAGCGGCCACACCUCCACUGCAAUGGGAGCAGGUUGCGGUGGCUGUACUGCUACCGCAGUAACCCGCUGGGACAGAUGUCGCAGGAGCGGUGGAAAGUAGUCGAAAUGAAGCUACUAGAAGCGCUCUUCUCGAGGAUGGACACCGAUCCAAGCGCAUCAAUGCCAAGGUUUGAUGGAGCGGGGUGGCUUGGUGGCGUCAAAAUCUUUAAAUGUAAGGACGACCCGUCGCUGACAUGAAUUGGAGAGAUAAUGGCGACUUAAUUAGUCUUGCAGGAGGUGGAGGGGUCACCUGAUCAGCACUCUGAGGUUAAUGAACCAGGAGCUGACGGUACUUCAGGUGAACCUCCACAAAAGUUAGAUCGCAUCUGCCGAACUCCUUCUCAAUCUAUAGAAGGGCGGCUACGACGUGGCUUUAGUCCAGGAACCAUGGAUAGCAUCGGGUAACGUGGUCGCUGGACUAAAGUCACCAAACUACACAACUUAUACCCCGAGCGUCACUAACAAGGUAAGAACGGCGAUACUGGUAAGCGAAGAGCUGUGUUCCCAUGUUAACUUAAAUCUCUCCACAGAUGACCUGACGGUGGUGGCGGUAAAGGAUUGCAGGGAUGAGCUCAUACUCCUUGCAUCCUGUUACCUGCCACAUGACGGCGAGGCACCGAUUGCAGAACUCCGGAGGCUGGCGGCUACAUCCAUCAGAAGGAAACAGUCGCUGGUAGUUGGAGCUGACGCUAACGCGCACCACACGGUUUGGGGAAGCCGAGAUAUUAAUGCAAGAGGUUAAUCCCUAUUAAACUUUAUAUUAAUAAUUAAUCUAGUGAUAGCAAACCGAGGGGAGGAUAUAUAGGACCAACUUCGAAAAACGUCCUCGACAUUACACUUUACACCAGUAGAGGUACAACGGUAGGGACCUGGAGGGUGCUAAGUACACCGUCAUUCUCUAACCAUAGUUAUUUACGUUUCUCUAUUAGAACGGGGGUUAAAGCUAGACUUGAGGCUAGAAGAAACCCCAGAAUUACAAACUGGGUACGAUACCGACAAAUACUAUUUGGUAAAAGACGUAGACCGUGAGUGUUCAACUCUCCACAAGAGUUAGAAGAGGGUGUGAAUCUCUUCUGUAGCGCUCUUACUAAGGCUUAUCAUUCCACUUGUCCUAUGCGGAGAGAGAGGAAUGUUGGAAUGAAUAUAAGGAUCUGUUAAGAGACUACAAAAAGUUAGUGCGCAGGAGCAAACGGCAGUCGUGGAAAAACAUUUGUAGCAGCUUUGAAAGAACAAAUGAGGUGGGAAGACUUAGAAAACUGUUAACUAAAAGCCCCCUUUCGCCAGGCCUGAUUCGCAAAAACAACGGAUAGUGGACGGAGAAUUGCAGGGACUCCUUAGAGGUUCUAGUUAGCGUAUACUUUCCGGGAUGCAAGAACACGGUUAACUCUACACACGAAGGAAAUACUGAUGUUAUCCUGCCCGAGUGCAUAAUUACGGAGGAAAAAAUAGAAUGGGCAAUCCACUCCUUCGACUCUUACAAAUCGCCCGGUACGGAUGGCAUCUUUCCAGCAAUGCUACAGAACGCAAUGCAGCUGCCGUGGUUGCGAGUGAUAUUCAGAGGAUGUCUAAGGUUUAUUUAUGUACCGCACUCAUGGAGAGAGGCUAGGAUGGUUUUCAUACCGAAGGCAGGA